GCUGGUGAAGUGAUGAGUUUUCUCAUGUCUCUUCUCUGAACUUUUUAACUUUGGAGAGAAAUUAAUAUCUCUGAUCAUCAGA